AAAUCAAAGUAGGCUACAAUUGUCACCAGUUGUGCUCAUCAGCUAACACACACCCUCCCCUCCCACAGCCUAUGACAUGUGUGUGGCCCACGUGCAGGGCAAGGGUGAAGCCCAUGGGAGUGAGGACGUCACAGGGAGGUGACUGCUGGGAGGAGAAAGCCUUGCAGGAAGAGCCCCCUGCCACUUCUCUCCUCCUGCACACACCAUGCGCCUCAGUCUGCUCUGCUGGUGGGCCCUGUGUCUCUGGGGAGCAGGCUCCAUGGACACAGAGGUCACCCAGACUCCCAGACAUCUGCUCAAGGGAAAGGCACAGACAGCAAAGAUGGACUGUGUCCCUGCAGAAGGACACAGAUAUGUUUAUUGGUAUCGUCAGAAGCCAGAAGAAGAGAUAAAAUUUGUGGUGUACUUUCAGGAUGAAGAAAUUCUGGACAAAACAGAAGUGAUCAAUGAGCGAUUUUCAGCUCAAUGUCCCACAAACUCACCCUGCAGCGUGGAGAUCCAGUCCACUGACCUGGGGGACUCGGCCCUGUAUUUCUGUGCCAGCAGCCAAUCCACAGUGCUCAAAGUUCACUUUCCUUUGAACACAAACUCAGCCUGCACCCAGCUCAGGAAAUGA